UACGUAGGGUGCAAGCGUUGUCCGGAUUUAUUGGGCGUAAAGAGCUCGUAGGCGGUCUGUCGCGUCGGAUGUGAAAACCCAGGGCUCAACCCUGGGCCUGCAUUCGAUACGGGCAGACUAGAGUAUGGCAGGGGAGACUGGAAUUCCUGGUGUAGCGGUGAAAUGCGCAGAUAUCAGGAGGAACACCGGCGGCGAAGGCGGGUCUCUGGGCCAAAACUGACGCUGAGGAGCGAAAGCGUGGGGAGCAAACAGG
rnacentral:rRNA from 1 species